GGAAAGGUGCUCGAGUGGUUGAAGAGGCACGCCUGGAAAGCGUGUAACCGUCAAAAGCGGUUCGCAGGUUCGAAUCCUGUUCUUUCCG
rnacentral:tRNA from 1 species